GGUUCCGGUUNGGCCGGGAUAGUGGCGCACGGGUGAGUAACGCGUACGCAAUUUGCCCUCAAGAGGGGGAUAGCCCUGGGAAACUGGGAGUAAUACCCCAUAGAGUUGAGAUACCGCAUGGUAUUUUUACUAAAGUCGAGGCGCUUGAGGAUGAGCGUGCGUCUGAUUAGCUAGUUGGUAGGGUAAAGGCCUACCAAGGCGAUGAUCAGUAGGGGGCGUGAGAGCGUGGCCCCCCACACGGGUACUGAGACACGGACCCGACUCCUACGGGAGGCAGCAGUAAGGAAUAUUGGGCAAUGGGCGGAAGCCUGACCCAGCCAUCCCGCGUGCAGGAAGAAUGCCCUAUGGGUUGUAAACUGCUUUUGCUUGAGAAGAAAAGGAGCCAUUUAUGGUUUUCUGACGGUAUCUUGCGAAUAAGCACCGGCUAACUCCGUGCCAGCAGCCGCGGUAAUACGGAGGGUGCNAGCGUUAUCCGGAAUCACUGGGUUUAAAGGGUGCGUAGGCGGCGNUANUAAGUCAGAGGUGAAAGCCUGCNGCUCANCCUGUAGGAUUGCCUUUGAUACUGUUUA
rnacentral:rRNA from 1 species